CUGGGCUACGUGCCUGAAGGCCCUGUGCAGCCUUCACAACUUUCAAGAGGGGCGCCUGGAGGAAAUGAACCUGAUUCAAAGCUUUGGGAAGGAAACCGAGGACGCUGGAGAAUCCCCUGCAGUAACAAUCUAAGUGCUCAUCAACGAUGUGAUGCACACAUACAUCAUGGAAUAUUAUCCAACCAUGAGACCGGAGGAAAUCCUGCCAUUGGCGAAAACAUGGAUGAACCUUGAGAACAUUAUGGAAGAAUCGAGGCUCAAAAAGACACUGGUGGCUUGUCAGAAGUCCAAUGGCUCGUCAAAGGGCACAGGAACACAAGUGCUUUGAAUCCCAGACGUGUCCUCUUCUCCCUCCCUCCCACUGUGUAGUAGACACAUGUCAUUUUCUCUGUCCGUUCGUUCCUUUGGGACAUCAGUCCCAUUCCCUGUGGUUUAAUAAAGAUUCAAAAUGAUAGA